UACGGAGGGUGCAAGCGUUAUCCGGAUUCACUGGGUUUAAAGGGUGCGUAGGUGGGCAAGUAAGUCAGUGGUGAAAUCUCCGGGCUUAACCCGGAAGCUGCCAUUGAUACUAUUUGUCUUGAAUACUGUGGAGGUCAGCGGAAUAUGUCAUGUAGCGGUGAAAUGCUUAGAUAUGACAUAGAACACCAAUUGCGAAGGCAGCUGGCUACACAAAUAUUGACACUGAGGCACGAAAGCGUGGGGAUCAAACAGG
rnacentral:rRNA from 1 species